GGCCCAAUGGUCUAGUAGUAUGAUACGCGCUUCGGGUUAUUCCCCCUGGUUUGUGAAUCGGGAAAUGCGCGGGGUCCCGGGUUCAAUUCCCGGUUGGGCCC